rnacentral:rRNA from 1 species
AUUGAACGCUGGCGGCAUGCCUUACACAUGCAAGUCGAGCGGCAGCGCGGGGGCAACCCUGGCGGCGAGCGGCGAACGGGUGAGUAAUACAUCGGAACGUGUCCAGUAGCGGGGGAUAUCCUGUCGAAAGAUAGGCUAAUACCGCAUACGACCUACGGGUGAAAGCGGGGACCGCAAGGCCUCGCACUAUUGGAGCGGCCGAUGUCGGAUUAGCUAGUUGGCGGGGAACGGCCCACCAAGGCGACGAUCCGUAGCUGGUCUGAGAGGACGACCAGCCACACUGGAACUGAGACACGGUCCAGACUCCUACGGGAGGCAGCAGUGGGGAAUUUUGGACAAUGGGCGCAAGCCUGAUCCAGCCAUGCCGCGUGAGUGAAGAAGG